rnacentral:misc_RNA from 1 species
UUUCCGUAGGUGAACCUGCGGAAGGAUCAUUAAAGAGUAAGGGUCUUCGGGCCCGAUCUCCAACCCUUUGUUUAACUACCAUGUUGCUUUGGCGGGCCCGUCUCACGACCGCCGGAAGUUUGGCUUUGACCAAACUUCUGGCCCGUGCCCGUCAGUGGCCCCUUCAAAUUCUUGAUCAAGUAUGAUGUCUUAGUUAAAAACUUAAUAGUUAAAACUUUCAACAACGGAUCUCUUGGUUCUG